GCCGUGUGAACUGCAGGACACAUGAACAUCGACACUUUGAAUGCAUAUUGCGGAAUUGAGCUCGUCUCAGUUCCAUACCUGGCUCAGGGUCGGUUUUACAUCCAUCGGACAGUUUUCUGUCUGCUCAGGGCUGUCGUUUUGCCUCUGGCAGUGCGCAGCUUUAUGUUUUGUCGUGUGAAUUUCACAGACUCGACUCUUGGGAGAGAUCCUGGGUUGUUGUCACACUGGUCACAUUACACCGUGCAGGACUUUUAGUUGUCCGUUGAAGCACCACUCAUUUUUCUCUCGACCUGAGAUUAGGUAAGACUACCCGCCGAAUUUAAGCAUAUUAAUAAGCGGAGGAAAAGAAAACAACUGUGAUUCCCUUAGUAAUGGCGAAUGAAACGGGAUUAGCCCAUCGCGGAACUGCAGGUCACCUUGGCCUUGCGGAAUGUCGCGUUCGGGAGAGUCUGAUCGAGAUCUGGACGGCCAGUCAAAGUCCAACUUGACUGUGGCCA
rnacentral:rRNA from 1 species